rnacentral:lncRNA from 1 species
UUUCACUUUGUCGUUUCUUCUAGCAUACAAGUCAGGGUACUAAUACGCUGGUGGUGUUUUCUGUUGAGAGAACAGCUUAUUUCCUACCUCAUUCUGGUAUGUAAAGGUCACUUCCUACCACUAGAGGGUAUUGGUGACAUUACUCAGCAUUCCUACAGCGUCAUCACAGACAAGUCCCAGGAAUGACCUCCUUUAUGGUAUGAUGGAUUGGCCAUGUGGACAGAAAGAUGCAGUAGAGAGAUCAUGAGAUUUGGAAUCAAGAAAACGCCUGGGUUCUAGUCUAGACUCUGCUAUUCCUGGCUUUGUGACUCACAGCAAUUUGCUUCAUCUCUCCGAUCCAAGUUUCCUGUAAAUAUCUUCUAAAGUAGUGACAUAAAUGGUAAGGAUUGUUACAUGGUUCAAAUGAGCUAGAGUAUUUGGUAAUUUUUUUUUUUUAAUUUUAAUGUUCCAUACAAGUAGUUGUUAUUGUUAUUUUUGUUGAGC